GCUAUUUGUCAAAUCGACCAAUGAAAAGAAAGAUUAUAAAUCGCAGAUUGGAAUGAUACCUGAUUUGCUACAUUUCAUAGUAAACAAAGCAGAGAAUAAACGUUUCUUGGAAUACAACGCAUAUUUUAAAUGGCCGCCCCGGAUCCCCCGGUGGAAAACGACCUCGCCAGUGUCAGAGACUGUGAGGACGGCGACAUCGGCGAGAAAACGACGUCGUCGAACAUCAUCAUGACAAAUAAUGUUCAAGGCAAGAUUUUUUAUGCAUUUUGUCACGUCUAAAUGAUUAUGAUACUGUCAAAUUUAUUUUAUAAGAAUGAUGAAAAUGUACAUGUACAUGAUUGAAUAAGAAAGUCUUUCGAAUUUCCUCGACACAUUAAAAUAUAUUGAAAAGUGUUUUCCAUGGGUAAUAGUAGACAAAAUUAAGCAGUGCGUUUUAAAAUGAUAUAGUAAUGGUUAUAGUAUUUCAAACUUCUGAAUUCGCAUUUCAUGUACACAGAUUUUUUUGCUGCACCUUAUUUUUAUAUACUUUCAGAAGAUUGUUUGCUGGUCAACAUCUUGAUGAGUGUCACUGCUGGUCAGUGGUCGGUGAGAUAACUAAAUGUAAAGAACUGUAGAUCCAUGUUGGCUGUGAUAUUUGCUGGCAAAUAUCAAACAACCACAAACCAGAUUAUAUUGACUGCUGGACAGUGAACUGGUUUUAAAUAUUAAGGAAUUAAAUAAUUGAAUUUCA